AGCGAAUGAACGAAGGCGCGGACACAAAGUCGCGGGCACCGCAGCGGGGCGGAUGAAUUUUUCCUUUCGACAAGUACCGUUACUGUCGACGUCUGGAGAAGGGGGAGAGAUAGUGUGCGAGUCGGAAGAGAGGAGGUGAACUCCAGCCUUGUUUGCCCCCGAACCCACUUCACCUUUUUCUCGUGCCUUCUCGUACUCGUGUAUGCCGGACGCCUUUCUCUUCAUCAGCCCCCCCCCCCCCCCCUCCUCCAAACACGCACUUUCACUCUACUAACCGAAUUCGUCCCGUACACGAAGAAACCAGGGAAAGACGGCCCGCGAGCUCGACGCCGGACGCCGGCGAGAUAGUGGGAACCUUCCUGCGCCGUCGUUCUUCCGGCCCCGACCGCGCUAACCUUUCCACGCCGCCAUGCGAGCGCAUCCGUUAUCGAGAAGCUGCAGGACGUCUCUUCUUUCACCAAGAAAGACGAUGCAAUCGCGAGAUUCGGGCCGCUGAGACGAGAAACACCGAGAAGAGUCGCCGGGACUCAGCCGCGAGACAUCGAGGACGAUGGAUGGCCACCGAGGCGAGGACGAGUGACUGUGGAGUAUCCGUGGCUACAACAUCGACGCACGGCACCGGUCCCAGCGAGGAGGCAGAGGAGGUGCGCCCGGGCUGCGAGUCGGGGCGGAGGAGAGGUGACCCCGAGCCGUGGCGUUGUCGUCGUCAGCCCGGGCCCGCUGCCGGGGCGAGAAAGAUAAUGUCAAGGUUCAGAGCGGCGUCCUGCUGCACGGAGGCAGGGCGCACGCCGGAGCGCUCCACUACUACUUCCGGGUUGCCGCUGCUCGAAGACCUCGUCCAUCUCUUCGUCCACCUGUCCAGAUGAUACGGCUGUUCCACCAACAGAGGGGGAAAAAAGUUAGCGAAAAUAAUCCUCCUGGUUAGAUUUAACCUGGCAUGCUCAGUGAUCUCGACGGAGCACUCUCUGCUACAGCCUGAACCCGGCGGGAUGGUCUAACUGCGCCGAAAACAGUUUCAUCCUGCGAUGGUGUCUGUGCCGCACGCUGACCACCGUCACCUGGCCCGUGUGCACCUUCUUGCUUUAGUGUCAUGCGUCCGGUACUUCCGGAUGUUGAACGACAGUUUAUUAUUUAUUUAUUUUUAUUUAUCGAAUACUGCAGGCCCAUUCAGGCCCCAAGCAGGAGUGGAUACAUACUCAAAAUACAGAGGUAAUAAUAAAAGUAAACGUCACGCAUUAAAACAACGAAAUAAAGUAGAGUGUACGUGCAUAUACAUACACAAACACUUAAAUGCCAACCAUUGUAAUAGCAACGAAACAGGAGAUAAGAAAAAAAGUGAUAAAACGACCGAUGGGCACCUCUAUGCCUGUAUACAGUAAGUGCCAACACAAAAUACCGCAGUUCCCAAAAUACCGCACAAAAAUAUCACAGCUCUCUACGCAUCUCCAGAUUAAACGUCACAUCAGCAGCAUAAAAUAAGCCAAACAAUAUGAUAACAAUGUAUCAACAACCAUUCAUUAAAAAAAACAAAAAACAGAUGGAGUGCGUGUGCAUAACAAAGUACCAGAAAUUCGGGAGCACCAAUAAAAGGUCCCGAUAGCAAGGUGUCAAUGGCAGUAACUGAAUAUCAGGUGGUUCCAUAACAUUCGUGGCACCUAAGUGCCGAGUUUAAAAACAAACAAAAAAAAAACAAGCAAGCAAGAUUACUAUUACUUUGUGAGAAAAAAAAAAUGAUGACUGUAGAAUGUACGGCGUUCUGCUGACCGACUUUAACGAGCGUGUUAGACCCCCUCUUUUCCCCCUCCCCGCUACAGAGUGGUCGGAUUUCGUUCGAUCGAGCGAACAAAAUUCAAAACGACCUCGUGCUUUUUCUUUAGAUAUUAAUACGCGUUAAAGAGCGCCUGUUGAGAGCUUGAAUUGAAUUUAUGUAGAUGGGUCUCAUGAGCAUAAUCACAUUGUACAAUACAAAACGCGACAAUAUUUAAAGUAGGCUAAGAUGCUUGCUAUCAAGUUGCUAGUUGGUAAAUAGCAACUAUCAAGUAUAUAAUUAAAUUGAGUUUAUUCAGACAAACAUUGCCUAAGUUGAAGGGACUAAAGGUAGAUUACUCUGUCUCACUAAGGUCCUUCCAUCAAUAAAUUUGCUAAGAUGCAGUUUGACAUAACAAUACAAAUACUUAUUUUUUUUUAGAAACUCGAAGCGAAAUUUGAAGUGCAGAAAGAAUACCGGAAACGAGCAUCUGAAAAUGCAGCAGUAUAAUCAACAGCAGCUACCCGUAAAAUGACGGAAAAUAUGCAAAUAAACUGAAAUCAGGAGCAUACUAUAAGGAAAGAGGCUAAGUACAAUACAAAAGGCAAAACACACGUUGAAAGAAAUGAGUGACUCCUACAUAGUUAUGCAAACUAUACACCGACACUGAAAGAAUCAUUCAUAGCGGAUGAGAUAUUUAGGCAGCUGUACAAGAGAUUUAGUAAAUUUUGACAUUUCUCUUUAAA